rnacentral:lncRNA from 1 species
GUCCACUUUCUGUAUCCAUGGUAACAUGUCAUCUGUUUUCCUCUUUUCUCAUUCAGAUUCCUGAAGAACCGUAGACGCCUAAAUGUUGCCUUGACACGAGCCAAAUUUGCGUUGUACAUAGUUGGACAUCUUGCUUCAUUGGAGGGAGAUGAAGAUUGGAAAUCCUUGAUACAAGACGCACACGACCGUCAACUUGUGAUACGGGUAGGGCAUCCAGACCAAUUCCAGUCGGUUGUUAAGAGAUGCCUCAAAGUAUGAUGAAGCUUUCAAAGUGGUCUGCUUCAUUGUUUGUUGUUGUCGCUGUUCUUAAAGUGACCUAAAUCCUCAAAAGGUCUUAUUCUAAAGAUCUAACAGGGAUGAAUAACACUGUUUCUGUUCUGUUCAUGGGGGGUCCUCGCUUAACCGGGUACUCCUCACCUAACUAAUACUCAUCAUUUAACAGGUACUCCUUCAUUGAUAAAUACUUUUCAGUUAACACACACACACAAAAAAAAAA